rnacentral:rRNA from 1 species
AUGACGCUGGCGGCAGGCCUACACAUGCAAGUCGAACGGUAGCACAGAGAGCUUGCUCUCGGGUGACGAGUGGCGGACGGGUGAGUAAUGUCUGGGAAACUGCCUGAUGGAGGGGGAUAACUACUGGAAACGGUAGCUAAUACCGCAUAACGUCGCAAGACCAAAGAGGGGGACCUUCGGGCCUCUUGCCAUCAGAUGUGCCCAGAUGGGAUUAGCUAGUAGGUGGGGUAACGGCUCACCUAGGCGACGAUCCCUAGCUGGUCUGAGAGGAUGACCAGCCACACUGGAACUGAGACACGGUCCAGACUCCUACGGGAGGCAGCAGUGGGGAAUAUUGCACAAUGGGCGCAAGCCUGAUGCAGCCAUGCCGCGUGUAUGAAGAAGGCCUUCGGGUUGUAAAGUACUUUCAGCGGGGAGGAAGGU